CCCUUAGUAGGUGUUGGGGAAAUUACGUAACAGUGCGGACGGACCUGAGUGGGACGGUACUGUCCCCCGAACAAGACCUCCACAAGCUUAUCAGCUGCUGUCCUGGGUCCCAUGUUGUGCACAUCACAUCGAGGCCCAUCCAAGUUUGCCCUGCACUCUCUCCUGCCAAGUUGAUAUCGUAUAGCACCUGCCUCUGUCUGUCCCUGUCUGAACAAGGUCUCUGAACAAGGUCUCUCUAGUGCUAGCCUGGGUCCCUCUGAGGCUGUUGCUGCUGGUGAGAUACACACAGACUCAAUUACAAGAUGUCUGACCAACAGGAUUCCGUUGUCACCAAUGGGGUUCCUGUCGUAGAAAAGAGUUCUGAGAGUUGUGUGAGUGACAUUCCUCUUGGAGAAACCAAACAGUUAGCACAAGUUGCGAAACUCCAACAGAAGGAUAUCUACUCCAGUCCCCUCGUCAACGGAGGAGUAGUAGAACAUACACAACCAAACUCUGAGUCAGAGUCUGAUGGAGAAGACAAAGACAGCCAGGAGACAGCUGCUGUAGAACCUGCAGUGAUAACCCCAUCAAGCAUACCUGAAGCAACAGCCAAACCACCCAGAUCACCUGGACUAGAGGGACCU